rnacentral:rRNA from 1 species
CCUACGGGUGGCAGCAGUGAGGCAUAUUGGUCAAUGGACGAGAGUCUGACCCAGCCAAGUAGCGUGAAGGAUGACUGCCCUAUGGGUUGUAAACUUCUUUUAUAUGGGAAUAAAAUGUUCCACGUGUGGGCUUUUGUAUGUACCAUAUGAAUAAGGCUCGGCUAACUCCGUGCCAGCAGCCGCGGUAAUACGGAGGAUCCGAGCGUUAUCCGGAUUUAUUGGGGUUACAGGGAGCGUAGGUGGAUUGUUAAGUCAGUUGUGAAAGUUUGCGGCUCAACCGUAAAAUUGCAGUUGAAACUGGCAGUCUUGAGUACAGUAGAGGUGGGCGGAAUUCGUGGUGUAGCGGUGAAAUGCGUAGAGAUCACGAAGAACGCCGAUUGCGAAGGCAGCUCACUGGACUGCAACUGACACUGAGGCUCGAAAGUGUGGGUAUCAAACAGGAGGAGAUACCCGAGUAGUG